AAUGAAAUGCCUGAAUAAAGGGUUAUCUUGAUAGGAUAAAUCAUGUAAUUUAAUAUUACUUUCAUUG
rnacentral:tRNA from 1 species